rnacentral:rRNA from 1 species
UCUCCUAUGGGGGGCAGCAGUGAGGAAUAUUGGUCAAUGGGCGGGAGCCUGAACCAGCCAAGCCGCGUGAGGGAAGAAGGUACAGCGUAUCGUAAACCUCUUUUGUCAGGGAACAAAGGCGGGGACUAGUCCCCGGAUGAGGGUACCUGAAGAAAAAGCAUCGGCUAACUCCGUGCCAGCAGCCGCGGUAAUACGGAGGAUGCGAGCGUUAUCCGGAUUCAUUGGGUUUAAAGGGAGCGUAGGUGGAUUGUUAAGUCAGUUGUGAAAGUUUGCGGCUCAACCGUAAAAUUGCAGUUGAAACUGGC